AAUAUUGCGCAAUGGGGGAAACCCUGACGCAGCAACGCCGCGUGGAGGAAGAAGGUCUUCGGAUUGUAAACUCCUGUCUUCAGGGACGAAUAAUGACGGUACCUGAGGAGGAAGCCACGGCUAACUACGUGCCAGCAGCCGCGGUAAUACGUAGGUGGCGAGCGUUGUCCGGAAUUACUGGGCGUAAAGGGCGCGUAGGCGGCUCUUUAAGUCAGAUGUGAAAACCCAGGGCUUAACUCUGGGAGUGCAUUUGAAACUGAAGAGCUUGAGUGCAGGAGAGGUAAGUGGAAUUCCUAGUGUAGCGGUGAAAUGCGUAGAUAUUAGGAGGAACACCAGUGGCGAAGGCGACUUACUGGACUGUAACUGACGCUGAGGCGCGAAAGCGUGGGGAGCAAACAGG
rnacentral:rRNA from 1 species